GGAGUCAACGUUGAAUACCACCUUGAUUAUUUGGAGUCUAACUCCUAACGGAGGACAUUGUUGAUGGGUAGUUUGACUGGGGUGGUCGCCUCCAAAAUGUAUCGGAGGCUUUCAAAGGUACCCUCAGUACGCUUGGUAACCGUACGUAGAGUGCAAUAGCAUAAGGGUGCUUGACUGUGAGACUUACAAGUCGAGCAGGGCCGAAAGGCGGAUAUAGUGAUCCGGUGGUUCCGUAUGGAAGGGCCAUCGCUCAAAGGAUAAAAGGUACGCUGGGGAUAACAGGCUGAUCCCUCCAAGAGCUCACAUCGACGGGGGGGUUUGCACCUCGAUGUCGGCUCGUCACAUCCUGGGGCUGGAGAAGGUCCCAAGGGUUCGGCUGUUCGCCCGAUUAAAGUGGCACGCGAGCUGGGGUUCAGAACGUCGUGAGACAGUUCGGUCCCCUAUCUGUUGUGGG
rnacentral:rRNA from 1 species